rnacentral:rRNA from 1 species
CUACGGGAGGCAGCAGUGAGGAAUUUUGCGCAAUGGGGGCAACCCUGACGCAGCAACGCCGCGUGAGUGAUGAAGGCUUUCGGGUCGUAAAGCUCUGUCAAGUGGGAAGAACCUGUUUAUAGUUAACAUCUAUAGGCACUGACGGUACCACUAAAGGAAGCACCGGCUAGCUCCGUGCCAGCAGCCGCGGUAAUACGGGGGGUGCAAGCGUUAUUCGGAUUUACUGGGCGUAAAGCGCGCGCAGGCGGGUUUGUAAGUUGGGUGUGAAAGCCCGGGGCUCAACCCCGGAAGAGCAUUCGAUACUGCAAAACUUGAGUAUGGGAGAGGGAAGUGGAAUUCCUGGUGUAGAGGUGAAAUUCGUAGAUAUCAGGAGGAACACCGGUGGCGAAGGCGACUUCCUGGACCAAUACUGACGCUGAGGCGCGAAGGCGUGGGGAGCAAACAGGAUUAGAUACCCGCGUAGUC